rnacentral:rRNA from 1 species
GACGAACGCUGGCGGCGUGCCUAACACAUGCAAGUCGAGCGGGGUUGAGGCGAGAGGUAACUCGAACUUCUACCUAGCGGCGGACGGGUGAGUAACGCGUGGGCAACCUGCCUCAAGGUUUGGGAUAACAGCCCGAAAGGGCUGCUAAUACCGGAUAUGCCUAUGGCCUCGCAUGGGGCUAUGAGCAAAGGGGAAACCCGCCUUGAGAUGGGCCCGCGUCCCAUCAGCUAGUUGGUGAGGUAACGGCUCACCAAGGCAUCGAUGGGUAUGGGGUCUUAAAGGAUGGUCCCACACACUGGCACUGAGACACGGGCCAGACUCCUACGGGAGGCAGCAGUGAGGAAUAUUGGUCAAUGGGUGAGAGCCUGAACCAGCCAUCCCGCGUGCAGGAUGACGGUCCUAGUGAUUAGUAAACUGUCUUUUCUAUGAGAUGAAUAAGAAUUACGUGUAGUUCGAUGACCGUAUUAUAGGAAUAAGCAUCGGCUAACUCGUG